rnacentral:lncRNA from 1 species
UUAAGUUUUGGUUAGGAUUAGAUUUAGAUUUAGGAUUUAGUUAGGGUUUGGUUUAGGAUUUAAGAUUAGGGUUAGAAUUUGAUUAGGAUUUGAUUUAGGAUUAGGAUUUGAUUAGGAUUUGGUUUAGGAUUUAGGAUUGGAAUUAGGAUUUGAUUAGGAUUUGAUUUAGAAUUAGGAUUUAGGAUUUAGUUAGGGUUUGGUUUAGGAUUUAGAGUUUGAUUAGGAUUUGAUUUAGGAUUUAGGAUUUUAUUUGAGUUUAUUUAGGAUAUAAGAUUUAGUAAGUUUUUGGCCUAAAAGUUGAAUGAAGUAAGGUUUCAACUAGGAUUAUAUUAAGAUUGAAUUGAGAUGUAUUUGAGAUAUGUUUGUAAUCAUUCUAAUAUUUCUUUAAGAUUUUUUAUUGUUUCUUUGGAAUUCCUUUGAGGUUUCUCUGAAUUUGAUUAAAGCUUGUUUAGCAUUAUUAGUAUUCUAUUAGAAUUAGGAUUUUGUUGUUGCAAUUUCCAUUCUACCUCCCAUAGUCAGGUGCCCAAAGCAUGCUCAAGUAAGACUUCAUGUAUUACGACAACGUGAUACAAUACCAAUUAUGGCAUAUAUAGCUACAAUUGAUAGAAGUUUGUUCAAAUCAAUACACAUAUUAUCUACCAUGGUGCUAUUCAAAUAGCAAAGCAUUCUUUAAGCUAACUAUUGGUUCAAUUAGAUAAAUUCUUCAAAUAAAGAAUGUAUAAAGAAAGAAGCAAGCUUAUUCGUGAAUGUUGGGCAAAGACAAACAAACAACAAAGUGGACCAAAGUUACCUUGUCUACUUACGUAAGAAGCACGAGAUGGUAUUGUAUUAAUUUUAGCAAUGUCUUUCCACCUAAAGGGUGUAGAAAUGGAACAUCCAUAUUUUACAUUUAUUCAUAGAAGAACCACCUAUACCUAAGCCAUCAUUGAGAAGUAUAAGUGAACAAGCUCACAUAAUUUUAACAAACAACAAUUGAAAGAAGCAUCAUUAUUGGAGUUCUCUCUAUCAUAAAAACAUUAUAUUUUUACUCAUUGUAAAUAUAGACUAUUCAAACAAAUCAAUUGAUUGUGGCUCCUUACUUAUAAAUCAAUUACAUAAUUACUAUAGAUGGAACAAAACAAUAUUGUAAUUAAUAAUACAUUCUAUCCAUAGAAUAGAAUGUACCAUAAAAUUUGAUUGAAUUUGAUUGAUUACAAAUAGAAAACAUGGAAUCAAAUCAAAAACUAUUGCAAGCAUAAUCCAAGAAUAUGUGUUGCUACAUAUUUCUAGUUAUUAGUUAUAAUUGGCUACUUGUACAAGUCAUGUGUAUGAUUAGUAAUUAUAAUUAUUAAUUAGAAACGUAUUGACAAAAGUUUGAAGGAUUGCUAAGAUAAUUGCAUUGAGAUUUAAGUCUAUCAACAACUAAUUGGAUACAACUAUGAAAUUUAUAACAUAAACACAAUCUGAUACAUAAAAUGUGUUAAUUAUCACUCUGGUUGAAAUUUGUAUUGUACAAUUUGAAACAUGAAUAUUUCUAAAUAGCUUAGAAUGCAUCACAUGUAAACUUUUACUUCACUUUUUGGUUUUUUUUUAAGUAUUUAUUCUAUUUUUGUUUUCAGUCUUUUUUGAAAAUCUUGAAAGAUAUAUCAAACUUUAAAUAAACACAUAAAAAUUAUAAAGACUUUGAUAGCACUGAUACUUCUUUACAAUUACUGAUAUUAUUUUUCAAAAUCCUUAAAAAUAAUAACAAGCACAAUAAAAUAUUUAAAAUAUAAUGCAACUUGAUGGUUAAAAUUGGCACACUAAUUCUGAGCUUCCUUAUGCUGCAAACCAAAACACACUCAUGGGGAUGGUCAUUUUACAAUAAAAAAACCAAAACUUGACUGUAGCUUGAAUGAUAAUAGAGAAAGCCCAAAUUUAUGGAUGGAAGGGAACAGUUAAAAAUCAAUUGAUGACGCAAUUUGGGUCAGACCUUAAGCUCAAGAGCACUCACCCUCGAACCCUUAAUUAGGCAAGAUUCUGAAAGGGCAUCACACAAAAAGUUUUGAACUUACCAGUUCUGCCCACAAUUAAUAAUCCAGACAUAUCUUGGUAGUAGAGUCUCUUGAAUAAUAGCAGGCAAUACUAGAAGUGCUUCUCCCACCCUCACAUGGUUUUGUCCUAACCAGUGACGAACUCGUGCCCGCUAGACACAAUUGUGCACGACCUCUUGGCAAGCCUGCAAAACAGCUCUGGGCCUUCAUAGAGGGAAUAGUUCACGAGAGGGAACAUCGCAUAAAAGAAAAAAGCAGAAGUAACGCUACGUAUUGCAAAUAGGUCGGGACAUCUUGUGCAUGCCUUGGGCGUGCAAAGGGCAUGAAUCUACAACCAUGAUUCAUACAAUAUGACUCUGCAUGAACUGCGUAGACAUGCCUCCUCCCACCAGAGGCUCGCAAUCAGAAUCGGCCAAUCAAAAGAAAAAUGACCAGCAGAACUCGUAAGCCAACUACACAUUCUCAGAUGAAAACAAAUUUACUUCAAAUGCAAGUCCCCUUAGCCACCAAGGACAGCACAAGACGCAACUCAAAAGCAUCGUGGAAAAUUUGCUGAACCUCACGAGUGUUAAUGUAAUAGGUGGCACGCAGCAAAAGGCACCUCUCAGACAAUAGAGUUCCGCGUAUAUUCUAGAUAAUGGUGGCCAAGAACUUGUCUAAUGAUUCCUGCUGAACUGACUGCCGAUGAUGCUGCGACUAAAAAGAUAAAAGCUUCAACAGAAGAAAGUGCAGUGUUCCAAGUCGAAGACUAUGAUUCACAAGAUAACUAGGAUGAUUUUCCUGAAUCCGUAGUACAAACCAAACAAGCCUAGAUUCUUCAAAAAAAGAUUGCGCCACAAGAGAACUGAGACCAAGCUUACCAGCUGAGAAAUCCUGGGUAGUUGAAGCAAACGAACAUGAGCAUGAUUUCUAAGUUAUUGAGCAAACAAAAUUCAUGAUUACCACCAAGUCUGGCCAAAAAGUAAUAAGGACAACCACAAACUAAAGAAACCAUUCAGCAUCGACCAGAAUCGAUGACGUUAAUAUUAAGCACGCCCAGUCGUACAAACAAUAUUUUCUUAAUAGAAUUAGAGAAAAGAAAACCAGUUUGCUACUCCCCCGACAAGGAAAAAAUCGCAAAGGAAAAAUAACAUGAGAUGUCAAGAGGACAUGAACAACAUUAAGCAUUAAGAUACAUGCACCAUUUUGCAUUGAAGCAAAAUAUUGCCGCAACAUUAUUCAUAAAGAAAUGUUCAGAAAAAGAAAGGUUUGAACUAGUACUGCCACUCCUUGGAGCUUUUACUGUGCAUGUGGCUUCUUUAAAUCUGUCCAGUUUGAGAUUGCACAUAACCCUACAUCGAUUCGACAUGGAUUUUGAUGGUUCAUUGCAAAAAUGUUUAACGUUGUUGAAAUUUUUUGAAUGAAUUCAUUUUCAUGACUUGAAGGACAAACAGUCAAUUAAACUGCAUGGAUACGAUCAGGAGUCUAGAGGAUGUUACCAAGUCGCCUGCCGAUGUGCUUGUUGCAACGGUGCUGGUUUCCCAAAGCUGUCACUGAAAUUUGCAGGCACUUACAACUCGACCAUAUUCAAUAACCUGCUUGGAACGCGUUAACGAUCAGUAACUUCAGAUAGAGAAAGUUGGCCACGGAAAAAAUCGCCAAUAUACUCCUAACCCUCCACGUAAAACAAAAAGCAACAAUCAAAUACAACUUUGCUAAAGCGUAAUAGCAGGCUAGUGAGUUGGAAUAUAACAUCGACCCACUCUGUCAAGAUCUAAUGAUCAGCUCCAAAAACUAUGUUUGAUAUCUCAAACACCCAUACACAUAUACGCACACGCACCUGACCGAUACUAAAGAGGUCCCUCUGGUUGCCAAGGACCUGCGCAGAGUACGCACUACAUAUCAGAAUCACGAAUCUUGUCCACCCAAUACUGGAAACCAUAUGCAGCUUAUGCGCAACUUGAUGUUAAAUAGAAUGAAGAAAAAAGGAAACCGUCCGUCACGAAUCUAAAUACCGUUCAUCUUAACCGAAUGGGAAUGAACAACGCCGUCACUACUGGCUACAGACUCCACAGGUGGUGUAUUUACAAGAGACAACAGCUUCCGCCCUGUUCUUCAAUGUUCUGGUCAUGGAUUACUGUCAGUUGGAGGGAUUAAUGUUAGCAAGUACCUUGGAGUCGUGACGUCAGAAUUCUCAGCUAAGUCAGAGGCAUGGGUCAGAGAGACAUCAGAUUCGCUUGGUCAAACCUCAAAAUAAAAACUAUGUCCACCCGAUCGUGACAGGUAAAAAUGAAGAACUUCACCAUCCUAACUCCUCGAUAGUUUGAGUCAACAAUUCCAUAUACCGAAAAGUUGCAUUUGGACGUCUACCGCUCACCACUCACGCUUCGAGCAUUAGCAAAAAAGGGACUUGCUAGCAGACUGUUAUCCCAAAAUCACAUGAAAUGGAAAUUUUCCACUGCCAGCAUGCACAUUGGACACAAACGUUGCACACUAAACCUGACUUCUUCAUAAUGCAAAUAUAGACAUCCAAACAAACUUAAUUUAAAAGUACUCACCAAUAUCCCUCUUUAAAGCACAUGGUUGUCAAGGACACCGUAUCACAAUGAAAACCUCUAAAAAGUCAAGUUCGACAAUACGUAGUCCAAACUACUCUAUUUCUGGUCAGUGGAAUUUGCAAAUCCUCAAUAUGAACCCUCGAUACUCGGUCGUCAAUGUCCACAAACUGAGCAAACCUAAAAAUUUCAGAGCCAUCUAAGAAAACUGGGUCGCAGAAGCUCUGGGACAUUUGUUUACGGUGCUAGUUCCUGCCUACACCUACAUCACCACUACCUGGUGGAUAAUUGAACAUCUGACAAGCAGGAGAAGAAACCAUAGAGUCGAUUCUUCAAUAGGGUCUUAUAUAGUUAUUAACUGCACCUUCUUGAAAGCAAAGUGAUGCCGCAACUUGACAUGCUUCACUUGUCAGCGAUACUCAUACAUCGAUGUCACCUCAGAAAGGAUCCUCGAGAAUGAGCAGCAGGAAAUCUUAGCGAUGAUAUUCCCAGGAUGGUCCUGAGAAAUCAUUAAAUUAGAAGAGUUCUUGGUGACACUUAUCGCCGAGUUUUGGCACGUUUCAUUUCUGGGUUGUUGAAGGGGGAUGCUAAGCCACUCAUGAAUGCAGGACUCUCCUCACGUAAAGUGCCAUUUAACAUAGCUAGUUCACGAAGCUGAGCCUUCUUCACAAUAUCGAAUGUCUCAUCCUGAAGAAGUUGUACAUCAGCCCACACUCGUGAGUGCUUAUUCACAAUUUGGGUCUGUCAACAUUUUUCAAAACAGAUAAAAGCGAUAGAAAAGACCUGAAACAAUAAAAUGUGAUAACUUUAGAACCUUUCGGUGCAAUAAUUUCCUUUUUUAUUUUAUUUUUACUGGCUAACAUAUAUCCGACGUAAACAUACCACAGGCUUGAGCAGAUCCAGAAGUAUAUCACGGGCAUGAAUAAGUUGCUGAUCAAUUAUGUUAGCUGGGAGCUCUGCCUCGACCAACACAUGCAAAGGUUCAUUCAAAUGCUCGAAACCAGGUUUGUCUCUCAUUUUAUCUUCCUGCAAACACAAAUACCCACCAAUUUAGGAAAUUGGGUCCAAGCAAAAACAAAGAGUACCAAAAUGGAGGCAUCAUAUACGAUCCUUUGCUGCUGUUUCAAAAGAGUGACUGUUGCCUGUACACCUGGUAUCAGCACUACAUUAAAGAUUGGAAAAUAUAAGAUUGAAAGACAUGAAUUGUAAAAGUUGGAAGAUGCUCAAUCCAUCGAAACUUUCAGAACUGAACUGACCUUAGCAGUGUCUUUGAUUGAACCCCGGCCGCGAAUUAACACACGGCAACCUGUUGAAGCCUCAACUCGCUUAAGGGAAUUUCCACGAGGACCCAAAAUUCUCCCCACAAAGUUGAACUGCGAGGGUUAAUGACGACCUCUUAAGCCCGAAUGUGCCGCGACCAGUGAAUAACUAAAAACUCAUUUGGAGAUUGAAUACUGAGGCAGCAUCGUUCACAUAAAGCCCCUCGAUUACAAACUAUUCAGCACAUGAAAUUCGAUACAUACAUUAGGGAACUUAUCAACAGGAACGUCGAUGCGUUGGGUCCUCUUCACUAUUGGCCCGGCAGGAGUAGCAGGAGUCCCAUGCCAACCUGAUUGAGAUAGUCCAAGCCUCUGAAGCACCACAUCCACAAUUUAUGAAUAAUCGUUACUUAGACUCAAGUAUUCAGGAAGAACACAACGCAAAGCAACAUAACUAUAAUUACAUGCUGAGCAAACCGAUGCACCAUAAAAAAAGGAGUGAUCAGGGGCAUACAUCUCCCCAGCCAUUCAAGUCGCCUGAACCACCAUUAUUUAUACGUGUGCCUAAUGAGAGAGGACUUCCAUGAUCCACACCAUCUUGGUCGAGAAAGGACGAAUUUCCAACAAGCGCUGUUACUCGCACAAUCUCUGUCCAACACGUGCUCCGAUUGUUAGAAACCAUCCUAUACAAUAAUGCAUUAUAGGGGUAUAUGUUUCCGUAAGACAAGACUACAAAACCACUUACUGAUUGUUGCAUAUAAAACUGGUGAGAAUAAAUGAAAAUCAAUGAGUCGUGAAGAAGUUAUAUUUUGAAGAAAGGAUCCAUAAAAACACCUAAUAAUCACCUUGACUCAACAAACGACUGCAGUUGGGAAGCACUUGCAUGAAAGGUCCUAAAUUCUGUCUUUCCGCGAGCAGUUCAGAAAGAUACCUGCACAUUACAAUUACAAAGCCAUCUGGUCAAAAAGUUCUGCUUGUGUGGUACUGGAAAAGAUUUGAACUUGACCUGCACGUUCGACUGAGACUCCGACAAAGACUCUCUAGCCUUUUUCCAGUUAAAAAGUAGUUAGACAGCAUGUUUAACUUCUUAGAAAUACUCUUACUACAGCGAACAUUGAAACAACAAAAGGAAGGGUACGACAGUCCGAUGAUUGUAAUCUCCAAAUCAUUUCUAUUUUCAUAAGAAUUAAGUCAAUAAUUGGAAGAAUUGGAAGGAAACGACAAUCUGUUCAUGACAGUAAGACCAAGGAUAAACGAUGAAAAAUUCGUGUUGCAUCUAACCAGACUACAUCUUCGGUGUCAAACAAUAUGAUGAGCAAAACUCCAACAUUUAGACUUGUGCUAAAAUCCAUCAAAUUGUAAUCUGCAUUGACUGGCAUUUUGCAUCGUAACAAAAACUUUCUUGUAUUCGCCUCCGUUACAGAAAGAAAAAAGAAAAAGAAAAAGAAAAACAGGUUCACAGGGGAUAGAACUGGAAUGCUCUUUAAUAGCAGAAUCAAUUGAAAGUUAUGAUAGACGAGGACAAAGGACGACGUCACAACCAGCAGAAAAUGAAGGAAGCACUUGAUUGAACUUUUCAAACAUCAUCAGACUUCCUGUUUUCUAUCUAGCUCCUGAAGAUGGCUUCGCACUCAAUACACAGGCGAUGAAGAUCAAAUCAAACCCAGACACCAACUCACAAAUCAGAACAUAGACUCCACGACAGAAACGCCAGCGAUUCAAGGAAGAGAGCGAGAGCUUAACAUACUUAUACUUAUCGUGCUCAGCGACGACACUCGAGGGGCGUAUGCCUAGUUGCGGAGAGCCUCCUGUCGAUGGUGAAAAUUGCGUAUAUCUCCCUGCCAUUCCUGUCCUCUCAGAGCUGUUCUCACUCCACGCUCCACGCUUUCUCUCUCUCUCUCUCUCGCAACACCACCCCUUCCGUCAUUGACCUAACACACCGCCAUCGCGAACCACAAGUCCAUCCACCCGAAUUCCCCUUUCUCUUGUGAACACGCCUUAACACCAACACAGCCCCUUCCUUACACUCAUCUUCAAACGCCUUGACCUAACACUUUCAAGCGGACGACCACCAGGCAACGCUCCACAAUCCAAUCAAUACCUUCCAACAAAAGAGCACAGUCGCAAAAUCCCGACACCACGAGCACAACAACACGCACGGACGACAAAAACACAAAAUGUGAAAAGGGAUUAUAGCCUCAGCAUUAGAAAAAUUGCACUCACUCCUCUGUCUCAGCAAAUCAACGAAUAGCGAGCUCAACUCCCACGUCCCAUUGUGUGUGAAUUGCCUCUCCUCCCACGUCCUCCUCUGUCCUUCGUCGUUUGUCCUCGUUCUCUAUCGUUUGUCCUCGUUCUCUAUCGUUCGUCCUCGUGAUCCGUCGUUGUCCUCCUCGUCGUCGUCCCAUGGAGUGGUGCGGCUCCGUCCAUGGGACGUUUGAGCGUGACGGACGGCGGACCGACGGACGGAGGUUCGUUGGAUAACCGCCUGCCUUUCAUCUUCAUUCCAGUUGGAAGUGAACCUUCAUUCAUGACACGUGGUCGAAUGUGAGGCUUCCUUCAUUCCUUGACCGUGCUUUUCUUUUUGUGUACGAAUGAAUAAAUAGAUAUUUUUUCAUACUUCACUUGGUUUUGUAAUUGAAAUGUGUGAACAUGAUUAUUGUAAAUUUAGGAGAAUGUUAAAUAGACCCAAGUUUUUACUGAUUUUGAUCUAUCCAUCAUGAAGAAUAUGGUAUUCAUAAUGAAUGUGGUUGGAUUUCAUUGGUUUGGGAUCCAAUAGUGGAGAAAUGAAUCUAGAAAUUAUAUUUAUUAUCUAUAGAAAUUAAUUUUACUUCCUUCAUAUGCAUUUGCAAUUCCAUUGCUUUAAAGUAUUACUCUUAAAGCAAAGCAAGGAAUUUUAAUGAUAGAUAAAACAUAUAUCAAUGUAUAUGUAUGUAUGUUUGUAUAUCAAAGAGACAAAAAGAGAGUGUAAGUUACAUAACUUUUUUUAUUACAUAACUUCACAUACAUAUACACUCACACAAAGCAUAUUGAUAGAAUUGUUUGAUUGUUAAGCAUAAAUAAUUUUUUUUGUAAAUUAUAAUCUAUUUUUUGUUUAAAAAAUAGUUUCUACUUUAGAAUUUAGAAAUAUGUCAUAUAAGUUAUAUAGUUCUUUUUAUUAUUAUUAUUUUGUCAAGAAUAGGAAAAAAAAAAAAAAAAAAAAAAAAAAAAAUCUGUUAUUAACUUUUAUAAAUUCAAAGUUGAUAUUUGAGUUGAUAAUUUGUGCCAUUAAGAUGACUUAAAUACUACCGAAGAAUAUCAAAAUAGCUUUAGAGCUACAUAAUACAAAAAAAUUGUACUUUAGCAUGUUAUUUAUGAAUACAUUCAAAUUAGAAUAGAAUCUAAAUUUUGUAAGAAAUAACUUGUGAAUAUAUUAACGUUAUAUUUUGUUAUCAAUAGAUACUUAGUUGAAGCAACUUCGUGGCAUAUUGUAUUCACUUGAUAAUAAUGAAAUACUAAUACAAUAUGUGAAUACAAGUAGAAAGUGUGUAAGUUUGUAGAAAAGUUUUUGUUAAUGUGUUGUACUUUAGAAGAAAUAAAGUCAUGUUACAAAUAUGCAAUAUUUUUCUUUUUGAUAUAUAGUUGUGACAAUCAAAAAUGAUUUAAAAAAAUAUCUUUAGAUUAUUAAUGAAAAUUAUAUAUUUUUAUUUAUUCACUAUAAUAAUUUUAAAAUAAUAAAUAUAAUUAUUUUUAAAUUAUUAUAAUUUAAUCUUUUAAUUUAAAAAUUGUACAAAAAGAUUAAAUAUUUACAAAAACUAAAAGAUAUCAACAAUCUUUUUGUAGAGAGGUUAGACUUCUUAUUAAUUUAGUUGGCAUAUGCACUCUAAUUAACAACCUUAGCAAAAUUAUUUUGCCUAAUUGUUGCUUAAAAUUAUAUUGUUAUAUAAUCAACAACAAAUGAAUAAAUAAAAUCAACUCCUUUUUGUUAUUCCACAAACAAGAAAUAUUUAAUGAGAUAAAUGCACAUUCAUUCAAGAAGUCUAUAAUAAUAGAUUGGAAUUUUUUUUAGGAGGGCUUUAUACCUAAAAGCCCUCUUUGAAAGCCAUGGUGAAAAAGCCUUAUAAGAGUUUGUCACUUAAGUGAAGUCUUUUUUGAAAACCUUGGCCUAUAAGUAUAGCAUAAAGUGAGAAGAAACCAUGUAAUUGAUCUAAUCAUUCUUUUAAUAUAAGUCUUAAUAGUAAUCUAAAUAUGUCAACAUAUUUCUUGAUUCAAACAAUUACAAGAAGCAUUAAACAAUAUGUUUUAAUGUCAUUUGUUAAUAGUCAUUUAAAGCAUUUUUUUAACACAUUUAUGCCAUAUUAGAAAAGAAUAUACUCCACUUCAUCUUUUCUCUUUAGGGUAUUUGGCUUAGACUUCUUAAUUAUAAUACCAAUUAUAUAAAAUUUAACAAUUUUAGCCAAUCAAAAAUCUUAAAAAAUUAUGACUUCUAAUCUCCUCCCUGUAGUAUAAAUACCCACUUAAUAUUUUGAAGGGAGAAAGACAUUACGAAAUGGUUUGUCACCCUUACGAUGAGCUACAUUAUUGGGUCAAGUAUCAAAAUCCCCAAUCAACUACGUAAACAGCCACUGCCACCCUUUCCACCACUAACUAGCUAAUUGGAUUUAAUAACCUAACCAAUCCUCACUGCUUUGUGAGGAACUUGGCAGAGUAUAGUUCAUAUACUCGUGGGCAAGACCAGAGUAUGGUGUAAACACAGAAUUAGAAAAUUAUGCAAUAGUUGCAGAGCAUAAAAUUACGGAUCAACUAAACUUGAGAAACGUACAUUCUUCAAAAGUGUAAAUGAACAUAAAUGCCUCCGUAAACCGGACAAUAGUGUAAACUGUCAAUACCAGGGACAAACAGUACAUAUCAAAGGACAUAGCAAGUAUAAUGCUGCGUUGGUUAGGAUAUGAUUCCAUGUAUGUAGACCCGAACAUCUCAUUCGAAUGCAGCAUAAAAACUUUUCACUUGUGAUAUAUAUACUGAUCGCCGAUUAAGAACUUAAGAGAAACACGCUCUGUUCUAAACCGUGUCGGCCUUAGUAGGAAAUUAGCGAUGGAGAUGAGCAAUCAGGUAGUAGUAUGAUGCCCGACAUCUAUGUACUUGGACAUAUUCUAUUAUACGUCCAGAAGGCGAACUUUAGUGCACAACUACUACAUGCAUUUGACUUACUAUUGAGUGAUUGCCAAGCCAACCAGUUCGGAAAAUGGUGCAAUGUCAACGCUCAAGACGCGACAAAAUCAGCCCCACAGUUUCUCACAAUAUAAUAAUUUUAUUGCGAUUGGUCCGUGCGAAACCAUUUGUCCCCUACCUUUUCCACACUUACUGAGUCGAAGACUAGUACCCUACUAGCUUUGCCUUGCAAUAGUACUAUAAUAUGCCUUGAAUCUUCAAACUACGUAAAGAUACUACGUGAAGGAUUGUUCAAAUCCACUGCCACAGGAUGCAGACGAAUUCAAAAUGGCCAGUAAAAUUACAGGUCCUACUAGUUUAACGAAUGGACAUAACCAGCUAGUCUUCUCAAAACCACGUCAAGAUUGCAUGAGAACAAGAGGUGCUUACCAACAGAGAAUUAUCUGACCAAUGAUUAGAUGUUUUCAAGCACUUGAUAUCAAGUAUCAGAUUUGAUGCUGCCAUUUCCUCAACAUACCGGGAGAAACUGAUGACGAAUCCAUCACCAUUCCCGUAUUCGCGUCUCCCAAUACUGACAAAGAGCCAGAGCUUGGUGAGUCGUGUGAAUCUCCUAUUCCGAUUAGAGGAGGACACCACCCCAUGCUUUCCUCGAUAUAGUUGAUGUCAUACCUAUCAUGCAAAAAGGUCAGGCAUAGCCCCUGUAAUCGUCAGACCAUUGUUUUCAGGGUUCAAAGUUUAAAAUGGAGAGGAUACGAAAGCUAUCUCCAGUAUUCAGCAGUAUAGAUCAUAACGCCCAAAAGUUUACAGUUUUUUAUUUUGUUCAUUCCAAUUCCCCAUUGCGUUUGAAAAGAGUAAUAUACCAACAGUACACAAAAUCGCCCUAUCCAUUUGAAAAUCGAAGCAAGUAAAACAAACCCAUCUCUUCGUUUCAAAGAAUUUCAAAGUUUGGAAGAUGUAAAAGCGUAAAAUACUCACUGAAAUGCGUCUUCAGUGACCUUUUGUAAAGCAGUGUUAAGAUCUUGGAGUAUGCUCGGAUCACAUUUUUCAGUGAGCUGCGAUCCAAUCGAUGCACCGUAAAUACAACAGUCUCAACAUGUUUUCCACGUUACAGCCCCUUAAACUUAUCCUCAUACAUCAAAAAACAAACAUGUUGGAUGAGAAUUUAGGAUCUCGGAUCAUGAUCUGUAUUCGAGAUCUAUAGACCUUGUACGGCACUAAAGAAAGAUAUCUACCUGCUGUAAACACAACUCUACAGUCUUCCCAAGCAUGGUAACAGCAGCACACCGCGUCUCUGGUUUUCUUAGUAGAGUGAUAAUAGUGGUGACAGCGCCUGCAAAGGACAGAUAAAACUUCAUCUAAUGGAUGAACAUCGAAUAUGAACCAGAAGGUUCAUACAGAUGGUGUAAUUAAGCGCGAUGUGGACCUUCCUUCCCAAACAUUAAAACGAAAGAAGAUCCAAUCCUUGAACGCACCAUUCAUUGGAACAAAUUCCAAGUUCACAAGAGUUGCAAAAGCCUCAGCAUGAGCAAAAAAUUCCAUGCGACUUGCUUCCACUGGUCUCCUCACUGUCAAAUGCUUCAAAACCUUCAAAAGUAACACAUGACUUUGUGAGGACACAUAACUCAGAUAAUACCUUGUAUGCAUAUGACGAAUUUAACCUUGAUAAAGACAAGGUUGCCGCUCAACAAGAAUGUAUUAAACUGUAAUCUUCUUUCCCGUGUUAACUAUUGCAAGACCAAUACCAAUCUCGAAAGUGGCCUAAAUGUAACAAAAAUACCUUAGGAAUAAGGAAUUCCCGCAUUCGAGAUUUUGCCUGAUCUGGUAGUCUGCAGGAUAAGAAAAAAGAUCUCGAAAUAAAAUUCUAAAUAAUGUGAUAAUGACUCUUCAAUAAAUGAUACAAUCAAGUCCUACUUAUCAUUGUCAAUUAACCGGGAAUGUCUUCCAUUUCAACCCCCACACGCCUGAACUAAUUGUAAUCUAAAUUCAUGAUUAUCUUGCUAUCAUCAAAACUGUAUGUAAUAGCCAUGGAAGUUCAAUAAAGAAACCAGACUCCAAAAACAAUGCUAAGCUGACCUCGGCAAAAGGAACAUGAAUGGCACAACACUUUGCUGUCGCAAAACCAACUCAUGGUUAAACACCACAGCCACAAAAGCAGCUUGAAACUCCUCUAACAUCUGCAAAUACAGGGCCGCACAUUGGAGAUUCAGCUCCGAAAAAACAAACAAAUAAACAAAACAACCAAACAAAUAAAUAUAGCAACUCGAUUCUAAUCGCUUGCCAAGAGCUCGAGACCAGAUACACUCGGAUGAUAUUGCGAAAACCUUGGAAAAUGUUCCACACAUCCGAGUAGUUUCUCCCAAAUUUCAAUUUUUUAAUUUAAUUUUAACUUUUAUUUUGUUUCCUAGUUACACAAACCACCAAACCAGAGAGGUUAUGAUCUGUCGUCCGCUGCCACUGCUAGGUGUUCUCAUGAGUGUAUGAAAUCCAUGCUCCUCCUAAUUAAAAACCACAUUUGUGCAGGUAAGCGUUAUAAUUGAAGCCACUGGGCAGUAAGUAAGGCGAAAGAUGCUAACCAUUUCAGAUGGAUCUGUAAGAAGAGUGGCGAUUUCUUUACUGACUCGAUCAAGCUGGCUGCCAUCCUCCAGCCUCAAGAUGAGAGUUUGGAACAGCUUACCUACGUCUCGUGUUUUCACGUGAUCUGUUAACGCCCUGAUGCCAGUCGAGAAUACAACCAGUCUUCAAUUACUACUCACUUUACCUCUGUUAGUAGUGGCAAUCAUGGACAGCUAAAAAUGCCCUCAAGUGCCGAAAUUCAUGAUUGCAAAUGAAAUCUCUACACAUAUGUAUAUAUACUAGAAGCCUGAAGACAUCUCUAACAGCACCUCAAAGCCAGGACGGAGAUUAUAUCAUGGCAACCUUCCAUACAACCCACCGAAUCAAAUCACUGAGCUCGCUUGAGUAGGGGCCUAACCUUGACAAUUAUACACUAAACCAUGAACAUAAACCCUCGAGCCCAGAAAUACGCAUUUGACACCAAUCAGCACCAAAACCCUAACAACAUUCGCCUUGGACCUUACAGCCAGAAUUGAGAACAUUCAAAAAGGAUGACUAAGGUAUGCCAUUCUUGUUUUAUUUUUUUUUCUUUUUUUCCUUCGCCUUCUGUUUCAAAAUAAAAAAUGAAAAUGAAGAGAUAAAAAAUAAUAAAAAUUGGUGAAGGUAAGUGGGUUUGUGGAGAGCUAUCCUAGCACCUAAAAUCACGUAUUAAUCUUCUUCAGGAAAACUCCAUAGCCAACUCGACCCUAGCUCCAAGCCACUUACCACUUCCACCACAGACUCCAUUCACUCUCCUCCACCUCCAGAACAGAAAGAAGCUCUCUACCACCACUAUUUCGAGCGACGUCCUACUCUGAACAGCCAAAAAAAGAUGGUAAAAAUAGGGAGAAGCGCAGCCACCUUAAAAUUCGAAAGAGCUCCGUUGCUGAGGGGAUUUCAUCGGGACUAAGUUCGACAUCGAUAAACAGCUUCAUCAACGCCAAGGGGUGAAUGACCCUCCCGUAAUGAGAGCGGUCCGAGGAGACAGAGUAGGAGGAGAGCUGGCGAGAAGGAAGAAUGCGAGCGGGCGAGCGAGGGAGAGGUUGCCAGAGCAAUUCGAUCGUCCUUGCUUGCUCCACAACCACCACCACCAUGAGGACGACGACGACGACGAAGAGGGCAAGAACAACCCCCCCCCCCCCCAACCCUUCCCCUACCCAGGCUACAACAUGCGAUGUAUAUAUCCGGAUCAACAUAGCUCUCUAUGUCCUCUAACCCAGAUAACUGUAUGACAAGAUCCGGGUAUCAAGCGGAUCUCAAUUUACGCUUCUCAUUCUGUCCCACCGUUGGAGGGAAGAAAGCAUGGCUUUCAAAAUAGCUUGUGCGCAAAAAACAAAAUCUUAAUGUCAUGAUAGUUUUCUCCAUUUGAGAAUUACCCCACCAAACUAUUUGAUUCACUUCUUGAAAAAUCAUCUUCUUUUUUUAUGUUUGUAAGUUUUUUUGUUUCGAUCGACUGGAUUUUAGGAAUUAUAUAAUGAAUUUAGUUUAUUUCAACGAGCCACUAUUGUGCCAAAAAUAUUUGCAGGUCAAGUUAUUUAUUUAGUUUAAUAUGUACCAUAAAAUAACCAUAAUGUUUUUGUGAGCUUCAACUGUAAAAUAAUUUAAAUCAUUGUAACUGUUACUUCUGUCACUUGAAAAAUAUUUGAAUGCAGUCUAUAACACCUUGAAAGUGAUUUAAAAGCAUGUGUUUUAAAUAUGUGCUUUUUGUGUGAAAGGGGAAUUUUUUUUAAUUUAAUUUAAUUUAAACGAGGAAGAAUACAUACGCAAAAAUUGUUGAAACGUUGCUCCAAUAUAAUAUAGCUAAGAAAAUAAUUUAUAAAAUAAAACAUUUUUUUUUUAACUCUCACAACUUAACUUUAUUGACUAGAUUUUGAAUAUCUAAGUUUAUUCAUAAAUCUGAGACUUAAACGUUCUACAGAAUUCGAAAAGUUAUUUAUUCCUUCACACGAGCUCCAUUGUUCUGGCUAAGCUUGGCCUUGCUAGAGAAGUCCACGUCACCUGCUGACGUUGCACACCCACAACAACAGUGGGAGAUGGACGAGUUCAGAAUGAACGAGAAAGAGAGGAUGAGAUGAGGGAGGUAAUAUCAUCCAUCUAUCUAUCCAUCCAAGAGGAUGGGGAGUGAGUGCAGAGCCUUGGAAUGAACCACAAAUUAUGUGGGGGGAGGAUGGGGCUUGCUGGAUGGCCUGGCCGUGUCACGCACUCUCUGUUUGUUUUUGUUUAUCGUGGCGGUGGUGGUGGUGGUGGUGCAGUGUUUUUGCAGCGAUUCCUCUGGCUAUGGCGUUUGCAUGCGGUUCUGCCUCGUGUGUCACGGGCUCCACCUUGCAAUGGCGUAGCUCCGCACCUACUGGUGACCGAAGCAGGCGCUUGCUGGCCUCUUCUUCGUCGCAGCUGGUCACUCUGGACGCUGCCCUGCUUCGAUUGCGGAUUGCUGCGCCGGGUCAUCCCGUCAGGUGUGAGUUCCCUGUCCAGUUCGCUGUCGAUUCCGCCUGCUGUCGUGCAUUAAAUUGGAGGACUAAACGGUGUUUUUGCGCAGAAAAGGCGGCAAGCUCAAGGGCCCAGGGCGAUGGUGCCGUUGGAGCCGAUAAUAUUGGCGCCUCCAGAAAUCGACGCCACCACAUUUGUGCUCGGGUCAUUGGUGACCGGUGCUCUGAGCUUCGGAGUUUUCCGCACUGUCGUUUACUUUAGAAUGCAAGUGAGAAUUCUGAAUUUCUCGAGGCUUGUCGAAAUUCACUGUGUUCCACGUGUGGUAUAUGGCUCUAAGCGUUCUGCUAGUUGAGGGGGAGUAUUCUUUUGAAAGUGCUGGAUUCUAAUGCAAGGUAGAGUGGUAUGAAAACGAACAUUCAAUUGCACGCCUCAUUCCUCUCAUUCUGAGGCAUCUAUCUGGAACCUUCAAUUCUUGGUUUUUUAGUCCCUAGCUCUCAUCUUCCCUCUGAACAUAACUCUUCAUGUGCAAAUAGUCAGAUUUCUUAGAAUUUCUAGCUACUUUCAACCGAAAAUCGUGAUGUGUUCGAAAAUUAUAAUUCUUGCCUUGUGCGGUCGUAGCAUAGACUGAGUGAUUCCACGUAGCAAUCUUCUCUCUGGUAUUGUAUAGACGUGAGUCGCUUAUAUGUAAAUGACGAAGAAGGUGGAAACUCGGGAGCAGUGCUGAAUCGACUUGGAAAUGUCUUGCACCAGUUGAUUAUAGCACAUAUGCUUGCGCUGCAUGUGCCAAAAGGUGGGGCACGGGUCGUGGAUUUCAGCGUUGGAGAAGGCCGAAAUUUGUAUUAUUACCCAAAGGAUACAGUGCAAGUGGUUGGAGUCAAUCCGAACCCUAAGGUUCCGAUGCUUGAAGCCCAAGGUUUUAUUCAAACAAUCUUCUCAUGUCAUGGGAAUGUGUUUGACUUCCAAGGAUGACGUGGACUGUGCUCUUAUCUCUCAUUUGUAUGCUUGAUUCUGAAUAAUUCAUGCGAAGAUGCUGCAGUGAAUCUCUAUCUUUCUAGUGCCAAGUGUAGCUCAGAACUUUUUGUUCUCUUGCGAUUCGCUCAGUUCAUAGUUGUCCUAACUUUUGACGUCCGUAUGGGAACAGCUGCUUACGCGAAGGUGCCCAUUCGAAUUUUACCUGACGUCUCACGGCUUCCAGCAAACAGUAUGGACGCAGUGGUACAUUCAUAUCCAUCUCGUGCGGAUCAACAGCGAUUUUGUGCUGAAGAAAGGCUUCUUUAUCUGUGUAUAAUGAUUAUGAUUAUUAUUAUUAUGACUGUUAUUAUUUAUUUGUUUUGCAACUCUCGUCAUGUUGCGUGGAAAGCAAAGAUGCCUUGCUAAAGAAUACGCUUUUUCUUUGAUGUCUAAUUUGUCUGUGUUUAAAUCUGCAGGUUAGUGUUCAGGGAAUGGAAGAUAUGUCAGAUGAACAAGUUGAAACUGUCUUACGUGAUGCUGUCCGAGUAUUGAAGCCUGGGAAGGUGCAUCUUCUACUCGCAUUUCCUAGAACAUCAACACAGAUUGGAUUGUGACAGCUUUGUAUGGAUCUACUGCAAUGCCUUUGUUGUUUGGUAAAUGCACUUGGGUUAUUAAUAAAAUCUAAGGUCGCAUGUUGCUAGAUCAUGUCUGAGAGACUAUCAAUGUUGUCGUUCUUUAAUGGGGGAGUUGUCCAACACCUUCAUUAUUGGAACAGAGUAGAACAAGGAUUCCAAGGUUCUUAGUAUUCCCUCGCAUGUGUAAUAAAUGCAGCCUUGGGCGUUGAUCUGCCACUUCGUAACUCAGUUACUUGAUGCAGAAAUUUAUCUACAUCGAGAAUGUUGGAGCUGAGAAUCCUUUGGUGCUAGCAGCUCAGCAGAGUAUAGAGGGCCUCGGAAAGUUGUUUGGGAAAAAAUAUACCGUCACACGCGACUUAUUGUCGUUUAUUCUGGUACUGGGGCUCUUUCACCGUUUUGUAUGGUUAACUGAGGCUUACUGCUGUCUAGCUUUUUUCCUCAGAUAGACGUAAGUAUUCUUAGUAAAUUGUUAAUCAUGCAUAAAUUGGUAAAUGCAGGAACGCAGUCGUUCACAGCUGAAAUUCCGGACGCAAUCUUAUGUAGUGCUAGUGUCUCAAUUGUGAAUACUCUUUGUGUACUACAGAAAACCAAAGGUUUCGAGGUUAUAAAGUACCAAGUAGUUCUUGGGUUCCAAGAUCCUCACAUUGUGGGUAUCGCCACCAAAAAGCAACAAACCACUACCGGUGCAGGCAUUGGCAAAGAUACCAUCCCCAAGAAGAACAAAAAAGAGAAAGUUCCUCAGCAGACAGGACUUUCAGAUCCUCAAAAGAUUGAAUUUUCAGGACAAUAGGAUAUGGAAAGAUUGGACAUCAGUUCAGUGCACCUCAGACAUCUGCCGUCUAAACGUGAUUUUGAUUCAUCAAGAGGGAGUAAUUGGCAGUCAUUAAUUGAGACCCUCGAGCUAGAUUUUAGGUUAGUGCAGAGUGGAGGUCCGACGAGCAACUCGUGCGCCUUUUUGAUAUGAGUAGGUCUGUAUUCUACGUAGCGCCAGAAGCGUGACACCCCAGUACUCAGUGCUUGCGACGGGUCAUGUUCAGAACUGGGACUGUGUUGUAGUUACACCUUGGCAGCAGUUUUCAGCGGUUGUUACCAACAGCAGUCCUUUGUGAGGAAGGCCAGUUUGUGGGUGAUGCAUUGAGCGACCGUUUGCGUGCUCUUUGAUAUGUAUUAGUGCCAAUGCCGGGAAUUGGCUAAUCAAACGAUGUGUCCUUGCAUCAUUCUUGUCGAAGCAUGUCCGAAAUAACCAUGACCGAGACACCAGAUCAGUUUAUUCAGAGCGACUAUGCCAUUCCCAUUGUCCAUCCCUUCCAUUUCACACUGCUUAGUGCCCCAAUUGCAAUCUGUAGAAUAUUACUAUGACUGGAUACCUAUUUAGUGUUGAUUUGGCAUUACACUUCAGACAUGCUUCAAGCAAUCGGCUGUAAAUUAGACGUGGAUGGAUUUCCCGCUGCCCCAGAACUAGCUCAAUCCGUUGGUUUUCAAGUUUACAGGUCCAACGCGUUCUCUAUGAUUAUUUUACUAUGUAGGGUGUGAUUAUUUUACUAUAUAGUGUGUGAAAUAAAUAAAUAAAUAAAUAUACUGUGUUGCAAAUACUACCAAGGUUUUUGUUAUUGCCACAACUUAUUCUUAUUAAUUCUUCAAAUUUAUUUAUUUAUUUAUUUAUUUUAUAUAUUUUUAUUUUUGGGUGAUAUGUGGUGAAUGACAAAUUGUGGUAGCAUUAGCAAUACCCGACAUAUAUAUAUAUAUAUAUAUAUAUAUUGUUUAAACUGUCAACAAAUUGCUAUUCUAAUGACUCAUACUGAGUAAUGUGUUUCUAUCACAGAGUAUGCAUUCUUGAAUCUAUCAAAGGAUAGUAAAAAGCUGUUAAUUUAUUAUAAUAAUCACAUGUUUAUUAAAAUCACUUCUCUUCUACCUUAAACUGACAAUUUCUUGAAUCAAUCAAGAGAAAAAGUUACUGUACCAAAUCACACCUUUGUACUAAAUAUUAUACAGUUGUUGUUCUGCCUAAUAAUGUUUUGAGAUCAUUUUUUCCCUCUAACUAUUAUAAACAAAUAAAUAUAUAUAUAUAUGUAGGAGAAUGUUGAAAUGACCCAGGCUUUUGUUAAAUCGAUCCACAUGUUUAAAUAACUAUUGCACCCCCGUUCCCCCGUACCUGUUCCCCCGUUCCCAAUCAUGUCCCCAGUCCCCUUCCAGUUUCGGUGUUGACUCUUGGAGGCGGUAUUUGUGCAGCAGCAAGUCCUGUCAACGCAGCGCGUACGAGCUCGGGGGUGAUCUACCUUUUUGCGCUAGUGUCACUAGCUUCAAAGCAUUAUAAAAUUCCAGAGUUCCAGACAAUGAACACGACGAUGAUGAACGUUGGAGGACGCCGACCCUGCAGUGCUAUCAUUGUCUUCUUGUGAGGCUUCGAAGAAUUGGGAAAAGAUAAGUGAAGAUUGGGUUUCUUUGUUCCUAAACCCCGCCGUAUUAGACGAGCAUGCAGGACCUCUUCCUUCGGAUCUUGAGAACUACUCGCAAUUUGAUUGUACUUCAAAAGAAUCAAAGGACCCUCAAGACCUAUUGUCAGAUUCUUUGUUAUUCCACUCCACUGACGAUCAAUUGUUACAAGUAUCACUCUUAGCAAAAUUGGCUCGCUUGCUGGCUGCUUCCAUCCAAGAUGCUGUCGACGUGAUGGGCUAAUGUAACUUGUUUGCGUGGAAGAUUAUCUUGUUUGUGGAAUAGAAAGUCAAGUGUGAAGCAAUUCUCAUCUCUUUGAAGAGAUGCAUGAUAACAUGUAAUCCUUUAAUUCAUGCCCAUCACGUCGACUACUUCUCGGAUUCUAAAACAGUACACUCUGACCACACGGAGCACCCAUUGACCGGCUUGCUACGGAGCGAAUUGCGAGGGGAGGAAAAUAAACUAAUUUAUUCAGUGAUACAUGAGAUGAGCCUCCAGUACUUCAGCUCAUUCAGGAAUAAGUUACACAAUUUUCUUAAAUUCAAAUUGCAGCGAUAAAAUAAGUCUUGGUAAAAAACCUGAAAGCACUCUGGUAGAGGUACCGUGCAUGCUAGUUUUCCUCAAUUUCGAGGUUCUUAACGACAAUCAAAUAGCUCAAACAUUUCAGACAGACCGCGUAAGAUAUUUGGACUCCACGGCUCUCAACCAAAUGAAAUGAAAUCCUGAAAUGAGAGAAACAUUAAUUUCACGUCAACCUCUGACCGAGAGUCUUCACUUUCAAUACAAGAAUUAGAACACAAUCAUCGGCAAUUGCUUUGAGAAUAACAGAGGAAUCAUAUUAAUAUUUUAGGGCGGCGCCCUCCACGAAGUAAUGUUUGCAUCAGUGACAAAGAAACUCGAACUUAGAUUCGGCACCAAAUGUCACGCCAACAGAAUUGCCUGCCAAAUGGACUGGUUGGUCCGGGAGAAAUUGGUCCUUGAAAUUCAGCGCCUACUAAUUCAUGUUGGACGAUACGCCCCCUCAGUCAAUACAUAAAGAACCUAGAUAUCAAUAGGAGGUACAGGAACAUUACCCUUGACUGGGUAUCUACCCAUUGGGGUAAAACUUUUGUAUGACUCUAAUCUUGGACUUUAAUUGACAGUUAGCCUGACGCCUGUAGUGGUGUCACCUUUUGCUAAUCUCUCGUGUUAUUUUUGCUUGAGUGUAACGUUUGCUUAAUGAGUGACACUAUGCAUCUCAGAUACUUAUUGUAGUGCUUUAUUUUCGGUCAUAGAAAUUGGUUAGCCUUUUACUGUUGUUGAACGUUGUCGUGUUGUAACACGACUACAUGGUGAAAGAUGAUAAUAUGGAUCUUAUUAUAGAAGAGCCAAGUUAAAAGAAAAGAUAGAAAAAUAUGGAUAAAAGAUAGGAAGGUAGUAAAUUUUUAGUAGUAAAGCUGCCAUUUUAGAAAAAAUAGCUUCUACUUACUUUGUAUGGCCAAAAAUAAGGCAAAUCAAGGUAGAUUAGAAAAAUAAAGGAUAUAAGCAUAUUUAGGGAGGAGUUAGGAGUGCAAAUUAGUAUAAAUUACCUCAAGAAGACGAAAGUUGAUACCCAAAGAGGACCGGUUAUGAACCUGGGUCGAAAUCAGACCCCAAGGCACAAAACCGUGCUCUAACGGCGACUCAAGGACUCUUUGGCAGAUCGGAGAAUGGGGUUUGAUAGAAGAUUGAAUAGGGUUUCUAUGGAUGUUGAUUUUGGGUGAUUUGGAUCUGUAUUGACUUUGUAAUAGCUUUGCAAAGUCAAGAUUUGUUUCGGAUGACUUGGAUUUUAUGAAAUAAAAUAGGGUUUAUGUUUUGGAUGAUUUCAAGAGUUUUGUAGUAGAUCUACAAGUGAAAUUUUGUGGGUUUAUGGUUUUAGUUGUGUUUAGUAUGUGUUGUGAAUUUGAGCUCGAUCUAACGGUUAAAUUGAGGGAUAUUGAGGUUUAAGUGGAUCAAGGUCUCACAAAGUAGAAUUUUAGGUCCGAUAGGGGUUUUUAAGAUUUCGUGCAAUCUACUAGUUGGAUUGGAGUGAAACUUAUGUAAGAGGAUAUUAGACUUGUUUUUCUAUGUGUAUUAGAAUUUUGAGAUCAAUCGAAUGGUAUAAAGAAGAGAUAUAGGCUCUGGAAGAUUGGCAUCAAGAUUGGAGACGGAGGCCAACCAAUACCCGAGCACAUUUUUGAGAUUAUCAUCAAUUGGGUAACUCUGAUCCUUUUCAAUUUCUUUAUGCUUAUUUUGAACUUAGUUUUUAAGAAGUAUACAAAAUUUGAGUUAAGAUCAACGGUUAAUUCAUUAAUUAUUGAGGUUUAAAUUAGUUGAAGGAAUUACUAGGGUUUGGUUUAGGGUUUGGUUAGGAUUUGGUUUAGGAUUUGGUUUAAGGUUUGAUUAGGGUUUGAUUUAGGGUUUAAGGUUAAGGAUUUGGAUUAGGAUUUGGUUUAGAAUUAGGGUUUGGUUAGGGUUUGGUUUAAGAUUUAGGAUUUGGAUUAGGGUUUGAUUUAGGAUUUGAUUAGGAUUUGGUUUAGGAUUUAGGGUUUGGAUUAGGGUUUGGUUAGGAUUUAUUUAGGGUUUAGGAUUUGAUUAGAGUUUGGUUUAGGGUUUAGGAUUUUAUUAGGAUUUAAGAUUCAAUUAGUUUUGGCCUAAAGUUUUAAUGAAGUUUAAUAGGAUUUUAACUAGAAUUAAAUUAAGAUUGAAUUAAGAUAUAUUUGAGUGAUAUUUGUGAUCCUUCUAUUAUUUAUUUAAGAAUUCUUAUUGUUUGUUUGAAAUUUCUUUGAGGUUUUUUUGAAUUUGAUUAAGCUUGCUUAGCAUUAUUAUGGUCUAAUUAGAGCAUUGUUAGUAUUCUAUUAGAAUUAGGAUUUU